GGUCAAGUGAAGAAGCGCAUACGGUGGAUGCCUUGGCAGUCAGAGGCGAUGAAAGACGUGGUAGCCUGCGAAAAGCUUCGGGGAGUCGGCAAACAGACUUUGAUCCGGAGAUCUCUGAAUGGGGGAACCCACCUAGGAUAACCUAGGUAUCUUGUACUGAAUCCAUAGGUGCAAGAGGCGAACCAGGGGAACUGAAACAUCUAAGUACCCUGAGGAAAAGAAAUCAACCGAGAUUCCCUUAGUAGUGGCGAGCGAACGGGGAUUAGCCCUUAAGCUUCAUUGAUUUUAGCGGAACGCUCUGGAAAGUGCGGCCAUAGUGGGUGAUAGCCCCGUACGCGAAAGGAUCUUUGAAGUGAAAUCGAGUAGGACGGAGCACGAGAAACUUUGUCUGAACAUGGGGGGACCAUCCUCCAAGGCUAAAUACUACUGACUGACCGAUAGUGAACCAGUACCGUGAGGGAAAGGCGAAAAGAACCCCGGAGAGGGGAGUGAAAUAGAACCUGAAACCGUAUGCGUACAAGCAGUGGGAGCCUACUUGUUAGGUGACUGCGUACCUUUUGUAUAAUGGGUCAGCGACUUAUAUUCAGUGGCAAGCUUAACCGUAUAGGGUAGGCGUAGCGAAAGCGAGUCUUAAUAGGGCGUUUAGUCGCUGGGUAUAGACCCGAAACCGGGCGAUCUAUCCAUGAGCAGGUUGAAGGUUAGGUAACACUGACUGGAGGACCGAACCCACUCCCGUUGAAAAGGUAGGGGAUGACUUGUGGAUCGGAGUGAAAGGCUAAUCAAGCUCGGAGAUAGCUGGUUCUCCUCGAAAGCUAUUUAGGUAGCGCCUCAUGUAUCACUCUGGGGGGUAGAGCACUGUUUCGGCUAGGGGGUCAUCCCGACUUACCAAACCGAUGCAAACUCCGAAUACCCAGAAGUGCCGAGCAUGGGAGACACACGGCGGGUGCUAACGUCCGUCGUGAAAAGGGAAACAACCCAGACCGCCAGCUAAGGUCCCAAAGUUGUGGUUAAGUGGUAAACGAUGUGGGAAGGCUUAGACAGCUAGGAGGUUGGCUUAGAAGCAGCCAUCCUUUAAAGAAAGCGUAAUAGCUCACUAGUCGAGUCGGCCUGCGCGGAAGAUGUAACGGGGCUCAAACCACACACCGAAGCUGCGGGUGUCACGUAAGUGACGCGGUAGAGGAGCGUUCUGUAAGCCUGUGAAGGUGAGUUGAGAAGCUUGCUGGAGGUAUCAGAAGUGCGAAUGCUGACAUGAGUAACGACAAUGGGUGUGAAAAACACCCACGCCGAAAGACCAAGGGUUCCUGCGCAACGUUAAUCGACGCAGGGUUAGUCGGUUCCUAAGGCGAGGCUGAAAAGCGUAGUCGAUGGGAAACAGGUUAAUAUUCCUGUACUUCUGGUUACUGCGAUGGAGGGACGGAGAAGGCUAGGCCAGCUUGGCGUUGGUUGUCCAAGUUUAAGGUGGUAGGCUGAAAUCUUAGGUAAAUCCGGGGUUUCAAGGCCGAGAGCUGAUGACGAGUCGUCUUUUAGAUGACGAAGUGGUUGAUGCCAUGCUUCCAAGAAAAGCUUCUAAGCUUCAGGUAACCAGGAACCGUACCCCAAACCGACGCAGGUGGUCGGGUAGAGAAUACCAAGGCGCUUGAGAGAACUCGGGUGAAGGAACUAGGCAAAAUGGCACCGUAACUUCGGGAGAAGGUGCGCCGGCUAGGGUGAAGGAUUUACUCCGUAAGCUCUGGCUGGUCGAAGAUACCAGGCCGCUGCGACUGUUUAUUAAAAACACAGCACUCUGCAAACACGAAAGUGGACGUAUAGGGUGUGACGCCUGCCCGGUGCCGGAAGGUUAAUUGAUGGGGUUAGCGCAAGCGAAGCUCUUGAUCGAAGCCCCGGUAAACGGCGGCCGUAACUAUAACGGUCCUAAGGUAGCGAAAUUCCUUGUCGGGUAAGUUCCGACCUGCACGAAUGGCGUAACGAUGGCGGCGCUGUCUCCACCCGAGACUCAGUGAAAUUGAAAUCGCUGUGAAGAUGCAGUGUAUCCGCGGCUAGACGGAAAGACCCCGUGAACCUUUACUGUAGCUUUGCACUGGACUUUGAGCCUGCUUGUGUAGGAUAGGUGGGAGGCUUUGAAGCGUGGACGCCAGUUCGCGUGGAGCCAUCCUUGAAAUACCACCCUGGCAUGCUUGAGGUUCUAACUCUGGUCCGUGAUCCGGAUCGAGGACAGUGUAUGGUGGGCAGUUUGACUGGGGCGGUCUCCUCCUAAAGAGUAACGGAGGAGUACGAAGGUGCGCUCAGACCGGUCGGAAAUCGGUCGCAGAGUAUAAAGGCAAAAGCGCGCUUGACUGCGAGACAGACACGUCGAGCAGGUACGAAAGUAGGUCUUAGUGAUCCGGUGGUUCUGUAUGGAAGGGCCAUCGCUCAACGGAUAAAAGGUACUCCGGGGAUAACAGGCUGAUACCGCCCAAGAGUUCAUAUCGACGGCGGUGUUUGGCACCUCGAUGUCGGCUCAUCACAUCCUGGGGCUGAAGCCGGUCCCAAGGGUAUGGCUGUUCGCCAUUUAAAGUGGUACGCGAGCUGGGUUUAGAACGUCGUGAGACAGUUCGGUCCCUAUCUGCCGUGGACGUUUGAGAUUUGAGAGGGGCUGCUCCUAGUACGAGAGGACCGGAGUGGACGAACCUCUGGUGUUCCGGUUGUCACGCCAGUGGCAUUGCCGGGUAGCUAUGUUCGGAAAAGAUAACCGCUGAAAGCAUCUAAGCGGGAAACUUGCCUCAAGAUGAGAUCUCACUGGGAACUUGAUUCCCCUGAAGGGCCGUCGAAGACUACGACGUUGAUAGGCUGGGUGUGUAAGCGUUGUGAGGCGUUGAGCUAACCAGUACUAAUUGCCCGUGAGGCUUGACCAU
rnacentral:rRNA from 1 species